CCCUUAGAUGUUCUGGGCCGCACGCGCGCUACACUGACGGAGGCAGCGAGCAUGUCCUUCGCCGAGAGGUGUGGGGAAUCUUGUGAGUCUCCGUCGUGCUGGGGAUAGAUGGUUGCAAUUGUCGAUCUUGAACGAGGAAUUCCUAGUAAGCGCGAGUCAUCAGCUCGCGCUGAUUACGUCCCUGCCCUUUGUACACACCGCCCGUCGCUCCUACCGAUUGAACGAUCCGGUGAAAACUCAGGACUGAUGACUGACCAGCGGUUCGCCGUUGCCAGUUUCGGGAAUUUGUUUGAACCUUAUCGUUUAGAGGAAGGAGAAGUCGUAACA
rnacentral:rRNA from 1 species